CUUGGCUUGCCCUUCCUGUCCCAUUGCCCUGGCACUGGCGAGCUCCUCCUGGACAUACUCCAGCAGUGCCUUCUCCAGCUGCCGCCAGGGUCACACUCCCUUGCCCUGCCCCUUCCCUGUCUGUUGGGCUGUACUUUGUGCCUGUGGCUUGAGCUAGGAUUUGGGUUCUUUUCGUAAACACAUCCCAGUCCUGCUGUUGAUGUCUUAAGUAUCUCUAAGAAGGAUAAAUGAGGAGUGAUGGGCCUGGGGACAGGGUUGAAAAGGGUCAAGGCCUGGGUGGCCGGCUUCCCUGGAGAAAAGAGGGCCCCACAGAGGCGGGGCCAUGCCUGGCUGCUGGGACAGGGCAGGAGCAGAGGUGGGGGCUGCAGAGCCCAGCAGACUGGGGCCACACCUGCUGUCCCGAUCCUGCUCAGGACAGAUGCCACCCUGUUCUCAUGACCACCAGUGCCCUCCUGAGAGCCCCAGCCACA
rnacentral:lncRNA from 1 species